AGAAGACUGUUGAAGCAUAAAAAAAAAGGAGAGAGGAAUAAAAGAGGAAAAAGAAAAAAAAAAGAGGGGAGAGAAAGAAAUAAAAAAUAGAGAUGGUUUAUGAGAUUAUCCAUGCACCAGGUGCAUGGAUAAAAUUUAAAUUUUGAAAAUAUCUCAUGCACCGGAUUGCGAAAAAAAUAAUACGCACGGGUAUAUAAAAUAGCAUAUUAGUCUAUUCCCUUUUGUAUAUUUACAAAAUGCCCCACCUUAAUCGUAUAAUAUUUUGAUUAAGGUGUAAUAUGAUCAAAGGGAAAGGACUAAUUCGCAAUAUUCCCGCAAUCCCAUCUUAACCACCCAAUAUCUCCACGAUUCCAUCAUAACCAUCCAUUACCACACAAUCCCAUCGCUGCCAUCCAAAAUCUCUCCCACAAUCCCACGAUACUAUCGUAACAACCUAUACCCACGAUCCCAUCAUCCCACGAUCCUCAACCAUCCACGAUCCCAUAACCUACGCACGUUUUCCUCAAAUCCUGUUACAACCACCUCAAUCCCACAAUCAGCACGUUUCCCUCAAAUCCGUUGCAACCACCCCAUAAAUACCUCUCGAAAUAAAUCAAACGAGAGAGAGUUUUUUUUGAAUUUCAAAAAAAAAAUCUAGUCAAAAAAAAAAGAGAAGAAGAGAUCCACCCGAUCCCAUUGAAAGAAAAAAAAAGGUAAAAAAGAAUACAUUAUCUCUUUCUCCCGUUCAAAAAAAAAAAA
rnacentral:lncRNA from 1 species